rnacentral:rRNA from 1 species
CUUUUGCUGGCGACCGGCGCACGGGUGAGUAACACGUAUCCAACCUGCCCUUUACUCGGGGAUAGCCUUUCGAAAGAAAGAUUAAUACCCGAUAGCAUAAUGAUUCCGCAUGGUUUCAUUAUUAAAGGAUUCCGGUAAAGGAUGGGGAUGCGUUCCAUUAGGUUGUUGGUGAGGUAACGGCACACCAAGCCUUCGAUGGAUAGGGGUUCUGAGAGGAAGGUCCCCCACAUUGGAACUGAGACACGGUCCAA